rnacentral:tRNA from 1 species
GCAUAGUUUAAUAAAAACACUAGGACGUGGCCCUAAAAACAGAAGUUUAACCCUUCUUGCAAACCGAGAG